CAGUAGCCGCGGGAAUACGUAGGGUGCGAGCGUUAAUCGGAAUUACUGGGCGUAAAGCGUGCGCAGGCGGUUUGUUAAGACGGAUGUGAAAUCCCCGGGCUCAACCUGGGAACUGCAUUCGUGACUGGCAAGCUAGAGUAUGGCAGAGGGGGGUGGAAUUCCACGUGUAGCGGUGAAAUGCGUAGAGAUGUGGAGGAACACCGAUGGCGAAGGCAGCCCCCUGGGCCAAUACUGACGCUCAUGCACGAAAGCGUGGGGAGCAAACAGGAUUAGAUACCCGUGUAGUCCCUGUCUCUUAUAC
rnacentral:rRNA from 1 species